rnacentral:rRNA from 1 species
GAUGAACGCUAGCGGCAGGCCUAAUACAUGCAAGUCGAGCGGAAAGGCCCUUUCGGGGGUACUCGAGCGGCGAACGGGUGAGUAACACGUGAGUAAUCUGCCCUUGGCUUUGGGAUAACCACCGGAAACGGUGGCUAAUACCGGAUAUGACGCGCCCCGGCAUCGGGGUGUGUGGAAAGUUUUUUCGGCCAGGGAUGUGCUCGCGGCCUAUCAGCUUGUUGGUGGGGUAAUGGCCUACCAAGGCUUCGACGGGUAGCCGGCCUGAGAGGGUGACCGGCCACACUGGGACUGAGACACGGCCCAGACUCCUACGGGAGGCAGCAGUGGGGAAUAUUGGACAAUGGGCGGAAGCCUGAUCCAGCAACGCCGCGUGAGGGAUGACGGCCUUCGGGUUGUAAACCUCUUUCAGUACCGACGAAGCGCCGAUGAUGGUGGUGACGGUAGGUACAGAAGAAGCACCGGCCAACUACGUGCCAGCCGCCGCUGUAACAC